UGAAUACGAGACGCUAAGGCGUCGAAGUAGUGUAUGUCAUACUUCCAAGAAAAGCUUGCACUGUCAUAGAUAAAAAACGCCUGUACCAUAACCGACACAGGUGGGUAGGUAGAGUAUACUAAGGGGCGCGAGAUAACUCUCUCUAAGGAACACGGCAAAAUAACUCCGUAACCUCGGGAGAAGGAGUGCCUUAUUCGUAAGGUUGCAAUAACAAGAUCCAAGCAACUGUUUAUCAAAAACACAGGUCUCCGCUAAGUCGUAAGACGAUGUAUGGGGGCUGACGCCUGCCCAGUGCCAGAAGGUUAAAGAAGUUGGUUAGCAAUUGCGAAGCUGAUAACUGAAGCCCUGGUGAACGGCGGCCGUAACGAUAACGGUCCUAAGGUAGCGAAAUUCCUUGUCGGGUAAGUUCCGACCCGCACGAAAGGCGUAAUGAUUUGGAUACUGUCUCGGAGAGGGGCUCGGUGAAAUAGACUUGUCUGUGAAGAUGCGGACUACCUGCACCAGGACAGAAAGACCCUAUGAAGCUUUACUGUAACUUGAAAUUGAAAUUGGACUUUAUUCGCGCAGUAUAGGUGGGAGGCGUUGAUUAUAAUCUUGUGGGAUUAUUGGAGCCAUCAGUGAGAUACCACUCUUGUAAUGUUAGAUUUCUAACUUUGAAUCAUUAUCUGGUCAAAGAACAGUUUCAGGCGGGCAGUUUGACUGGGGCGGUCGCCUCCUAAACGGUAACGGAGGCGUACAAAGGUUUCCUCUGAACGGUUAGAAAUCGUAUCUAGAGUGUAAAGGCGUAAGGAAGCUUGACUGUGAGACCUACAAGUCGAGCAGGGACGAAAGUCGGUCUUAGUGAUCUGACGGUACUGAGUGGAAAGGCCGUCACUCAACGGAUAAAAGUUACUCUAGGAUAACAGGCUGAUCUCCCCCAAGAGUUCACAUCGACGGGGAGGUUUGGCACCUCGAUGUCGGCUCAUCGCAUCCUGGGGCGGUAGUACGUCCCAAGGGUUGGGCUGUUCGCCCAUGAAAGCGGUACGCGAGCUGGGUUCAGAACGUCGUGAGACAGUUCGGUCCAUAUCCGGUGUAGGCGUUAGAAUAUUGAGAGGAGCCUUCUUUAGUACGAGAGGACCGAGAAGGACAUACCUCUGGUGUACCAGUUAUCGUGCCAACGGUAAACGCUGGGUAGCUAUGUAUGGAGUGGAUAACCGCUGAAGGCAUCUAAGUGGGAAGCCCACCUCAAGAUAAGUAUUCUCAU
rnacentral:rRNA from 1 species